ACCCCACAGGGAGCAGAGGGCACACAGGGGCACUGCACCAACAGUAGGGCACUGAAGGGGGCUGAGGGACAAGAAGGGCACAGCUUGCAGCCUCUUGAAGGGCCCUGGUGUUGCUCUGCAUGGGCUGAAGCCUUCUGGAAUUGUGUGGGGACACUCUGGGGGUUGUGGCUGGCUCAACUGCAACAGGAAGCAGCAAGAAGGUGGCACCUAGAGAAUAGAGAAAAGGCUGGCACACUCUGGGCAGGAGAGUGAGUACAGCCGUCUCCCACAGCUGUCUUUAACUUUGCUCCAGCGCUCUUUGCACCCCUCCACACUCCUGGAAGAAUUCUGCUUCUCUUCAGCAAAGACUUUUGGCUUCACUGUUAGAGGAAGGUGCUGCAUGUUACAUCUGAACUCAAUGAUCAAGACUCUUUUUCUCUGCAAUGCAAUGUGCUUUGGCCACUUGUUCUGAGAAUAAGUGGGAGAGAACUGGGCACAUAGCAGUAUUUUUCAUUCUCUGCUAUUCCCACAUCUCAGCUGCAGUUCAGAAGGAACCCCCAGAUGUCCUCUGGAAGUCACAUGGUAACUCAGAGCCAGGUUUUCAGGACAAGCUGUAGGAGAUACCUUCAGAUGGUUUAGGCAGACACAGCACUGGGAUGGGACAAUUUAUCAGGAGGAUUGAGGCCCAGGUGUUUCUAGGACCACCCUGUAGCUGGCAAGGCAUUGAAGAAUGGUCCAAACUUCUCCCUCCCAUGGGUAUUGAACCAGUUCUUUGGGAACCUCAGCCACUGCUAGUAUUGGGAGCAAACCAUGGGGAAGUUAAAUUUCUGCACUUAAAAAAAAAAUAAAUUGUCUGCAGAAAAGGCUUUCCAUGAGUUUGUACCACUCCUUCAGGGAUUCUUUGUCUAAAAGAAAUAACAGCUGGACUUUUAAGUACCAGCUACUGAUCUGAUAGACACUAGAACUCAUAAUUUUGAUAAUUCUGUUUCUGUCCUUGUCAAGCACCCUGUUAAUGGCUGGGUCUCUACCCUACCUGGAGCAGAACUGAAGCUGAUUUUGGAUAUCACUCAUGCUUAAUGACAUUCAGCAAUGAAGGGUACCAUAAUAAUGGAGCUGAUGUCACAGGUCUUGUUACAUGGGAAAAAUUGGGAGAUUGUCCUUGUAAGACUUUGUAUUCUAGAGUGACCUGGCUACUUUUAUGUUAUCUAGUCACUUUUUGACAGAGCAGGAAUUGAUGUAUAGCUCACAAAUACCUCUGUCUGGGGUGCUUUCUGUCAACUGGGCUAUUUCUUUUGUGGUGUCCUUUUGUGUAUGUCACAGGACAACUUUUUAUGGGGUCCUUUAUAGAAAAAGGAGGAGAAUCGGUUUACAUCCCCCUCAGAAAAAAUGGCAUCAAACAACUUCUUCAAAGUCCAGCACCUUUCCCUAAGCACAAGUAAAAGCCUAAACAGUUAAAUCAAUCCCAACUAAUUCAGCAUUUAGUAAACUCUGUCCUUACUCACACAUUCUACUAUUCCCAAGCAGAGUAAAAUGUAGGGUACAAUGCUGCAGAUGAAAAGAAACAGAAAAUAUCCCCCUUUGGAAGGAAACAAGUUCUCCUCUGGCAUAUUUAAAGCAACCUGAUGUUUGCACCUCUAGAUUGAUGUUAUUAUGCAUCUUUUCCUUCUCUUAUCCAUGCAAAUGUUUGGUUCAGCUUGCUGAGGAUUGAUCAAAUCUUCUCCCUGGAGAAGGAGAGAGGAUCGUGGAGACAGGAUCCAAAAUGCCAUCAAAUAAAGAUUUAGAAAAUGCAGUAUCAACAGAGCUGUGCAAAUAACUCCUUUUAGUGGUUUCUUGGCUGAGCUGUAAUGCUGAGAAGCAAGUUGUUCUGUGGCAGUGGGACUAAUGAAUCCUGGCUGCCUGGAUUUGAAUCCUUGCCUCCCAUCUCUUUGCCCACCCCUCAACCCCUGCUCCCUCUGUGUCCCUUGUAGUUCCCUCCCCUCCAGCCACCUUUGCUUCCCUUCCUUCUCCCCAGCUGACAGCUGGGCAAUGGCAGCAGGGACUGCAGUUGGCUCUGAUGAGGAGCUGGCCAGGGGGAGCAAGGAGCUGCUGAGCUCACUGGGCAGAGCUGCUUUCGUGGGGGCACUGGUGGAGCUCCCUCUCUUUCUAUUGAGCUGCCAGCUCCUUGAACUUUGUGCUCACUCAGCUUUGCUGGGAGUGUCAUGUCUGUGCAGAAUUUGGCUGAAACAGGCCCGAGGUUGAGAAGUUAUUGGAGAGACAGAUGGACUGGCAGUGCAAUCACACAAACCUCAUUUCCUAGGGGAACCUGCCUUCAAGUGCUUUGCUUGAACCAAGAUAAAGUGGUUUUGCUUUGUUUUCCAAGACUUGUUAACCGCUUGGAUUAAGCUAAAUAUAUGUAUUAAAUUAUAUUAUAAGCACGUGAGUGCUCUUCUGCUGGUUUAUGCCUUUUUUAAAUAGCAGUGGAUUUAUUUCCUUACCUAUUUUACAAGCAAAGCAUGGCACAGCUAGCCCUGCCUAGUUUAUGUUGGCUUCACAUAACUUUUGGAGUCAUUGUGCUAUUUAUUUUAUAUAUUCUAUAUAAAGUAAAUAGCAUGUUCUAUAUAUUCUAUAACAUAUAUUUUAUAUAUAUUAUAUAUAUCAUAUAUAUUUUAUAUAUAUGAUGCUAUGUAUUUUAUAUAUAGAAUAUAUAUUCUUCUCUUCCUCUGCCCUUGAUGCAUCACCCAAACAUUGCUGUCUUUACAGGAGAAAUACACCAAGUCUUUGAGCACUUGCUGCCUUCUUGGAAGGUUAUGCUAUCCAUCCAAAGUUAUUUUUCUCCUCACCAUAGCAUGGUUUCAAGUGUUUCAGCUUUACCUAAUACAGAAAAUUAUAAGGAAAUGGCUAAGUACACCUUAAGUAUGAAUAAACUUUAGAAAUGACAAGGCCUAGUUUGCCAUUUCCUUGGACAGGCAUUUUGCCCAGUUGCUCUGUUUGGACACACACAGAUGAAUGCUGGGAUAAAGUCUGUUUUCCUCAUAUUACCAUGUCGUAUUUAAUGAGAAAGGUAUUUAGUUCUCUUCCUUAUGAGCAUAGCAGCCGUAAAUAUUAACAUAUGGCUCAUCCUCAUUAAAAAAAGGCUCUCAAAUUCAUAUCUCAUUCACAAGAUCCAUUCCAUAUCAAAUGUUUAUCUUCUUUUCCUUAACUCCUUCUACAGUCAUGUUCAGCACUUUGUACUGCACUGCAGGGCAUUAAGUACAGAGACACAACACAAUUAGGGUUUCUUUUCUGCCCAAGGAACUCUGUACUGUAAUAUAGAAAGAACAUAAUAAAAAUAUAGUAAAUAAUAAUUUUAUAAAAUAAAAUACAUAAAAAUAUAAAUAAUAAAAUAUCAAUAUUAAUAAAUAAUUAAUUAAAAAUAACUUCAGAGGACCAUCAGUGCUAUCAGAAUCCAUCUAACUUCAGAGUGAAAAGAGUUGUACAAACUAUAAAAAGGAUGCAGCUGGCAAAAUUGAUCAGUAACUCAGAAUUGUGUUGAAAUCCAGGCCCUAAUUUCAUAGUACCAGAAGUUAAGCUAAGCUGUUAAUAUUUUCUAAUAAUCACUUUUCAUCUGCUGCUGGUUUUUAUUUGUACCACUGAAGCACCCUUGGAACCCUGGUGGCAGACCAGUGCCAUACUGUUCUGAACACCACACAAACACAGAACAGAGUGAAGAUUCUUCCAUUUAAGGGUUGUGAAUUCUCAUUAAAUAAGUCUGCUUUGAAAACCAUCAGUCAUGACACUAUCAACUGUUAAUCUAUUCAGUAAACUGUAUGUUGUCUUUUUUCAUUUUUUCGUCUAUUCAUCUAUUAUUUCAUUUUUUUAUUCAUCUCCAGAUCUCAUUCAGAAACAUUUUUCUCCUGCAUAUAUAUAUUAUUUUUAUUUUGUAUUGAAUUUAAUGCAUUGUGUAAAUCUAUUAAAAGAAGUUAUACUUUGAGAGAAUGAUGUGAUUGCUCCAUUCAGUAGGUGAUCUUUAGUGCAUUAGCUUUGCCGUGCAAGAGCAAAGAGAUGAUUAUUGGGGCAGUUAAAAAGGAAAUACAAAUGUAGAUUAGUAGGUUACAGUGUCUUUCAUUAUUACUGUAUUCAAAUCCAGUCCUGACUGUAUUAAAUGCAUCAUUGUGACACUGCUGGCUGCUUGGUGCCGGGUAAAUGAAGUUCAUGGGGUAAAUCCUGCUCAGGGGAAUAGCCAAACUUGGUGCUAAUUGCCAACUUUGUUGCCAUGGUUUUGCGGAACAAACAUGUCCCUAACCCCCUGGGCAGGCAUCAGGCACAGCACAAAGGUAGCUAAUUUAGUGCUGUCCAUAGAAAAGGGCUGCACAGAAAGCUGUGGUCAGCAAGGGUUUCUAAUCCAGUUCCAGUCAUUAAGCAUCCCUGUGCAGAGAAGUGAUCUUAGGGCUUACAAGCUGUUAAAGCAGGCACGCAGUUUUGUCUGGAUUUUCUCUGUUACAAUUAUCAAACCCAUUUGCGUUUUCUGUUCUGAAAUUUGACAAAGAGACAAAGUUUGGCCGUGGAAUCCUUUCUACACAUCCAUCAGGUGCCCUUGUUAAUGUAUAGGGGGUGUUGGUUUAGGGAAAACAUGUUGCAUUUUUAUCCACAUGCUCAGCUCUGCAGUUUCUCCCAGUGGUGUUGAACUUCCAGAUGAACUUCUGAUGAAAACAUCAGAGAGUUUUGGUAUGUCCUGGUGUCCCCAGCUAACACUCGUGUCUGCUGGGUGGCCCUGUGUUGGUGAUAGCAAAUGGAACUCCCAAUGACAGUGGGUGAGCCACAGAGAUAGGAGAGAGCUUGGCUGCUGCUUCUAGAGGACAGAGUGAGAGCAGAAUGAAGGUCUGCACUGACAUGAUAAAGACCAGGGCACAUGUGGAAGGCCAGAGAGCUUGGUCAGGGGCUGGGAAGCUCCUGGUGGGCUGCACAGGGGGCAACUGUCCUUCAGGGAGAUUGUCCCCUUCUCCCAGCUAUAGCUGCAAUCCCUACUUGUGCAGUUGUGCUGGCUGCAAGAGCAAGUUUGGUAGAUGCAAAGGAGAUGAAAAUGAGGUGGUUUUGAUAUUUUGCCCCACUUGCUUUGACAGAAUCCUUUUUGGCCUAUGCUUGGAGGGAGUGCUGUGCACAGCCAUUGGUGCUCACAGAAUGAAGGGUGCAUAAACCUUGUGCCUCCAGCUGAUGGGGGAAAAACUGACCUAUCAACUGGCAGCUGUGCAUGUUCUGCCAGCAAACUACACAAAAAUAUAUUUUUAAUUAACUUCUUCAGUCAUAAAGACCAUUUAAAUGACAUAUGACUUUCAAAAUAAGAUAUUCUGUGGGGCCCGUAUAUCUCUCCCCACUCCUGUGUUUGCUUUUCCUGCUUUAGCAUUUGACAUUAAUGUCUCUCAUUGAACAUCUCAACCCUUGUAUCUUUCUCAUGGGAGACACAGAUCAGAGUGUUCAAGCUUUGUAAUUUGGCACUGCUGGCAUUUUUGUUCACCACAAAUGUUUCUGAUGAUCCUAAUGACAUUUCAGCAAGUUUGGGAGGAAAAAAAUCAUUAAGAGUAGAACAAAAAAAAAUCCCUUGUUGAUCUGAAGUGCUCUCUGAAUGAGUUCUGGGGAGUUUAAAUUCAGGCAUGGAAUCCAACAUUUCCAUUUGCACUAGAGGUGAGACUAUUUGUAGUUACUGUUUAAGAGAAACCCAGUGUUGAAAUCUUUAAACAAAACGUUUCGGGUUUGUUCAGCGGAGGGAUGACUAUUGAUCAAAAAUACAUUCUAUGUGUUUCCAGUUUAGUGAGGCACACUCAUUUCCAAGACCAAAACUGCUGUCUUUUUAUUUUUACAGUCUUUGUUUGAACUGAGAUCCACAUUCAUUGUUACUGAGCUUUAAUAAUCUAAGGGUCACUUGAAGGGCUUUUGUUUGAGAGACCUUUCAAGCCAAGCCAAGGCAGCAGUUUAGAGAACGUUUCUUGUUUGUAGACAAAAAUAUAUUAAAACAACCAAGGGAGCUAUUACUCUUCCACAUAAUUAUUUUUAAUGUCUCAUUGGACGUGUAUGAAAUGCCUUUCAGUUCCUGUGGGAGAAUUACUUUUUUGCCUUUUGCAGCGUAGCUUUUGUUAAAUUUCUGCGCUGCUUUUCCAUUGAGCAAUGUUCACCCCAGAAGACUUUAUAAACAUGAACAGUAUCUCCAGGAAUAUGCUUCCAACAUAAUCCACAGAAAUACUUAGAGAUUUGUCAGCAGUCAUGGGCCUGAUACCUUGCAUACCUUGUGCCAUCUAUUUUUUUUCUGGCCAUAGUUAGGAGAGAACGUGACCCCAGUUCACAGGGGGAGAAGUCAGAGAACAGCCGAGACUCCUGCAGGA